rnacentral:rRNA from 1 species
UAGGGAAUCUUCGGCAAUGGACGGAAGUCUGACCGAGCAACGCCGCGUGAGUGAAGAAGGUUUUCGGAUCGUAAAGCUCUGUUGUAAGAGAAGAACGAGUGUGAGAGUGGAAAGUUCACACUGUGACGGUAUCUUACCAGAAAGGGACGGCUAACUACGUGCCAGCAGCCGCGGUAAUACGUAGGUCCCGAGCGUUGUCCGGAUUUAUUGGGCGUAAAGCGAGCGCAGGCGGUUAGAUAAGUCUGAAGUUAAAGGCUGUGGCUUAACCAUAGUAGGCUUUGGAAACUGUUUAACUUGAGUGCAAGAGGGGAGAGUGGAAUUCCAUGUGUAGCGGUGAAAUGCGUAGAUAUAUGGAGGAACACCGGUGGCGAAAGCGGCUCUCUGGCUUGUAACUGACGCUGAGGCUCGAAAGCGUGGGGAGCAAACAGGAUUAGAUACCCUGGUAGUUCACGCUGUAAACGAUGAGUGCUAGGUGUUAGACCCUUUCCGGGGUUUAGUGCCGUAGCUAACGCAUUAAGCACUCCGCCUGGGGAGUACGACCGCAAGGUUG